CGACGUAAUCAACCUGCCCUUCAGAGGGGGACAACAGUUGGAAACGACUGCUAAUACCGCAUGACACAUUGGGGUCGCAUGGCCCUGAUGUCAAAGAUUUAUCGCUGAAAGAUGGCCUCGCGUCUGAUUAGCUAGUUGGUGAGGUAACGGCCCACCAAGGCGACGAUCAGUAGCCGGACUGAGAGGUUGACCGGCCACAUUGGGACUGAGAUACGGCCCAG
rnacentral:rRNA from 1 species